CGGCAGCACGGACUUCGGUCUGGUGGCGAGUGGCGAACGGGUGAGUAAUAUAUCGGAACAUACCCAGUAGUGGGGGAUAACUAUCCGAAAGGAUAGCUAAUACCGCAUACGAUCUGUGGAUGAAAGCAGGGGAUCUUCGGACCUUGUGCUAUUGGAAUGGCCGAUAUCUGAUUAGCUAGUUGGUAGGGUAAAAGCCUACCAAGGCGACGAUCAGUAGCUGGUCUGAGAGGACGACCAGCCACACUGGAACUGAGACACGGUCCAGACUCCUACGGGAGGCAGCAGUGGGGAAUUUUGGACAAUGGGGGCAACCCUGAUCCAGCAAUGCCGCGUGAGUGAAGAAGGCCCUCGGGUUGUAAAGCUCUUUUGUCAGGGAAGAAACGGAGUUCUCUAAUAUAGGAUUCUAAUGACGGUACCUGAAGAAUAAGCACCGGCUAACUACGUGCCAGCAGCCGCGGUAAUACGUAGGGUGCAAGCGUUAAUCGGAAUUACUGGGCGUAAAGCGUGCGCAGGCGGUUUUGUAAGUCUGAUGUGAAAUCCCCGGGCUCAACCUGGGAACUGCAUUGGAGACUGCAAGGCUAGAGUGUGUCAGAGGGGGGUAGAAUUCCACGUGUAGCAGUGAAAUGCGUAGAGAUGUGGAGGAAUACCGAUGGCGAAGGCAGCCCCCUGGGAUAACACUGACGCUAAUGCACGAAAGCGUGGGAG
rnacentral:rRNA from 1 species